rnacentral:tRNA from 1 species
GGGGAUUUAGCUCAGUGGCAUAAGCACCUGUCUUGCAAGCAGGUGAUCAAUCCCCG